UUGGAUAUGAUGAGAAACUUGAAGUUUGAUCUCUAUAAUGAUGGGUCAUAUAUUCGUACUGUCUGAUCCAG